rnacentral:lncRNA from 10 species
CUCCAAUCUGGGCAACAGACUCCGUCUCCAAGGAAAAAAAAAGAAGAAAUUACCAUAUGAUCCGGCAAUUCCAACCCUAGGUUUAUGCCCAGAACUGAAAGCAGGGACUCAAGACAGACACUUGUACACUGACAUUCACAACAUCCAAAGGGUGGAAACAGCCCAGGUGUCCAGCCACAGAUGAAUGGAUGAAGAGAAUGUGGUGAAUCCACACUACAGGGUAUGAUUCAGCCUUUAAAAAGAGUGAAAUUCUGACACAUGCUGCAACACAGAUGGACCCUGAGGACAUUAUGCUGAGUGAAAUAAGCCAGACACAGAAGGACAAACUGAGUCUACUUCUGUGAGGUCCCCACGACAGGCAAAUCCAUAGAGAAAGUGGGAUGGGGACUGCCAAGGGCUGGAGUUGGGGAGAAUGGGGAGUUACUGUCUAAUGGGUACAGUUUCCUUAUGGGGUGAUGAAGUUCUGGAGCGGAUAGGGGUGACAGUUGCACAACACUGUGAAUGGACCUAAUACCUCUGAUUGUACAUUUAAAAAAUGAUUAGAAUGGCAAAUUUUAUUAUCUCACCACAA